rnacentral:piRNA from 1 species
UCUGUGACUGAUGUUUAAUAU